AUUGAACGCUGGCGGCAGGCCUAACACAUGCCAGUCGAGCGGAUGAAGGGAGCUUGCUCCUGGAUUCAGCGGCGGACGGGUGAGUAAUGCCUAGGAAUCUGCCUGGUAGUGGGGGAUAACGUCCGGAAACGGGCGCUAAUACCGCAUACGUCCUGAGGGAGAAAGUGGGGGAUCUUCGGACCUCACGCUAUCAGAUGAGCCUAGGUCGGAUUAGCUAGUUGGUGGGGUAAAGGCCUACCAAGGCGACGAUCCGUAACUGGUCUGAGAGGAUGAUCAGUCACACUGGAACUGAGACACGGUCCAGACUCCUACGGGAGGCAGCAGUGGGGAAUAUUGGACAAUGGGCGAAAGCCUGAUCCAGCCAUGCCGCGUGUGUGAAGAAGGUCUUCGGAUUGUAAAGCACUUUAAGUUGGGAGGAAGGGCAGUAAGUUAAUACCUUGCUGUUUUGACGUUACCAACAGAAUAAGCACCGGCAAACUUCGU
rnacentral:rRNA from 1 species